rnacentral:rRNA from 1 species
CAAAACGGCAGAAGCCUGAAUGAGCUUAAUAGAGGCCAAAGCGGUCUGGAAACGUACGGAUUGUUCAGUAACUUGACUCAUGAUUUCUUACCUAUUAGUGGUUGAACAGCAUCGGACUCAGAUAGUAAUCCACGCUCUUUUAAAAUGUCAACAAGAGAAUCUCUACCAUGAACAAAAUGUGACUCAUAUCU